CCAUCUGGCGCAUGUCAUGGUGGUGGAAAGCUUUUGUGGUUUUGGAUGGACUCGCGGCCUAUCAGCUUGUUGGUGGGGUAACGGCCUACCAAGGCGACGACGGGUAGCCGGCCUGAGAGGGUGACCGGCCACACUGGGACUGAGACACGGCCCAGACUCCUACGGGAGGCAGCAGUGGGGAAUAUUGCACAAUGGGCGCAAGCCUGAUGCAGCGACGCCGCGUGAGGGAUGACGGCCUUCGGGUUGUAAACCUCUUUCAGUAGGGAAGAAGCGAAAGUGACGGUACCUGCAGAAGAAGCGCCGGCUAACUACGUGCCAGCAGCCGCGGUAAUACGUAGGGCGCAAGCGUUAUCCGGAAUUAUUGGGCGUAAAGAGCUCGUAGGCGGUUUGUCGCGUCUGCUGUGAAAGACCGGGGCUCAACUCCGGUUCUGCAGUGGGUACGGGCAGACUAGAGUGCAGUAGGGGAGACUGGAAUUCCUGGUGUAGCGGUGAAAUGCGCAGAUAUCAGGAGGAACACCGAUGGCGAAGGCAGGUCUCUGGGCUGUAACUGACGCUGAGGAGCGAAAGCAU
rnacentral:rRNA from 1 species